rnacentral:snRNA from 1 species
AUUUUCAAGCUGCAUGCAUGCAAGUGCAGCACCGGGCGUGUGUGCCCUACAAUGAUAUUAAAUUUAUUUUUUAUGGGGGAGGGUUCACCACAAUGGCUUGCCACUGGGGCCCUCAUGUGUCGCCCUAGCGUUGCACUGCUGCCUGGGCCCGGCGCACCCCAA